UGAACGCUGGCGGCAUGCCUUACACAUGCAAGUCGAACGGCAGCACGGGUGCUUGCACCUGGUGGCGAGUGGCGAACGGGUGAGUAAUACAUCGGAACAUGUCCUGUAGUGGGGGAUAGCCCGGCGAAAGCCGGAUUAAUACCGCAUACGAUCUACGGAUGGAAGCGGGGGACCUUCGGGCCUCGCGCUAUAGGGUUGGCCGAUGGCUGAUUAGCUAGUUGGUGGGGUAAAGGCCUACCAAGGCGACGAUCAGUAGCUGGUCUGAGAGGACGACCAGCCACACUGGGACUGAGACACGGCCCAGACUCCUACGGGAGGCAGCAGUGGGGAAUUUUGGACAAUGGGCGAAAGCCUGAUCCAGCAAUGCCGCGUGUGUGAAGAAGGCCUUCGGGUUGUAAAGCACUUUUGUCCGGAAAGAAAUCCUUGGCCCUAAUACGGUCGGGGGAUGACGGUACCGGAAGAAUAAGCACCGGCUAACUACGUG
rnacentral:rRNA from 1 species